GAUGAACGCUGGCGGUGUGCCUAAUACAUGCAAGUCGAGCGACAAGACGAUGAGAUCGUUCUUCUGCCGUUAGCGGCGGACGGGCGAGUAACGAGUGGAUCACAUUCUUCUAUGUCUGGGAUAAUUUCGGGGAACCGGUUCUACUAAUGGCUCAUAUAUCCUACCGCUUGGAUCAGUAGUUCUUGACGGCUUUGCUGUUACUUAUAGAUGGUUUCGCGUCGCAUUAGCUAGUUGGUAAGGUAACGGCUUACCAAGGCGACGAUGCGUAGCCGACCUGAGAGGGUGAUCAGCCACACUGGAACUGAGACACGGUCCAGACUCCUACGGGAGGCAGCAGUAGGGAAUCUUCCACAAUGGGCGAAAGCUUGACGCAGCAACGCCGCGUGAGUGAUGAAGGUCUUCGGAUCGUAAAACUCUGUUGUUAGGGAAGAACAAAAGUGUGAGUAACUAUGCACGUCUUGACGGUACCUAAUCAGAAAGCCACGGCUAACUACGUG
rnacentral:rRNA from 1 species